rnacentral:tRNA from 2 species
GCCCGGGUAGCUCAAUCGGUAGAGCGUGUGGCUCUUAAUAGUCAACCUCAAGGUCGCGGGUUCGAGCCCCGCCUCGGGCU